rnacentral:rRNA from 1 species
UACGAACCGUGCGACCGUUAUUCGGAAUCACUGGGCUUAAAGCGCGUGUAGGCGGGACGGCACGUCUGUCGCUGAAAUCCCCCGGCUUAACCGGGGAACUGGCGUAGAUACGACCGUCCUGGAGGGGCGUAGGGGGACCUGGAACUUCCGGUGGAGCGGUGAAAUGCGUUGAGAUCGGAAGGAACGCCCGUGGCGAAAGCGAGGUCCUGGACGCCUACUGACGCUGAGACGCGAAAGCCAGGGGAGCGAACGGG